rnacentral:pre_miRNA from 1 species
ACCCGCACGAUGCAACCCCAAACAUUUUGGUUGUGGCUAACGACGAACCAUAAUAUUUGGGCGUUCAAGCCUGCGUGCGUGA